CCCUAUCACUUUAACUUAUUUGACUAUAAUACCGUGCUCCUUCUCUAAAUAGCAUAUCAUCAAAAUGUAAUGCAAACACGCAUUUCCAAUCUUGUGACAAUGUAGAUUCUGCUUCAUUCGGUCCGGGGUAGGGUCUGGGAAUCUGCAUUCCUAACAAGCUCCUGGAGUAUGACUGAACUAAUACACUUGCCCCAGAGUUCCUAUUGGAACCAUAGUGCAAAAGAUCUUCCAUAGCAUGUGAAUACAGGAUGUAUCAAUAUUUUUCUCCAUGCAGUCAAGAUUUUACACGCCCUUCUACCCUGUCUACAUUAUUAAAUCUAUCAUUCAUCAUUUAUACCCUCUUUUUAAAGUUAUAGUCCCUGAAAUUAACAGGCAUUUAUAUAACCUCCCAAUGUCCUUG
rnacentral:lncRNA from 1 species